rnacentral:rRNA from 1 species
GACGAACGCUGGCGGCGUGCUUAACACAUGCAAGUCGAACGGAAAGGCCCUGCUUUUGUGGGGUGCUCGAGUGGCGAACGGGUGAGUAACACGUGAGUAACCUGCCCUUGACUUUGGGAUAACUUCAGGAAACUGGGGCUAAUACCGGAUAGGAGCUCCUGCUGCAUGGUGGGGGUUGGAAAGUUUCGGCGGUUGGGGAUGGACUCGCGGCUUAUCAGCUUGUUGGUGGGGUAGUGGCUUACCAAGGCUUUGACGGGUAGCCGGCCUGAGAGGGUGACCGGCCACAAUGGGACUGAGAUACGGCGCAGACUCGUACGGGAUGCAGCAGUGGGGAAUAUUGCACAAUGGGCGGAAGCCUGAUGCAGCAACGCCGGGAGCGGGAUGACGGCCUUCGGGUUUUAAACCGCUUUCGCCUGUGACGAUGCGUGAGUGACGGUAAUGGGUAAAGAAGCACCGGCUAACUACGUG